UUUAAUUGAAGAGUUUGAUCAUGGCUCAGAUUGAACGCUGGCGGCAGGCCUAACACAUGCAA
rnacentral:rRNA from 8 species